GAUGAACGCUGGCGGCGUGCCUAACACAUGCGAGUCGAACGGAAAGGCCCUGCUCUUGUGGGGUGCUCGAGUGGCGAACGGGUGAGUAACACGCGAGUAACCUGCCCUUGACUUUGGGAUAACUCCAGGAAACUGGGGCGAAUACCGGAUAGGAGCUCUUGCUGCAUGGUGGGGGUUGGAAAGUUUCGGCGGUUGGGGAUAGACUCGCGGCUUAUCAGCUUGUUGGUGGGGUAGCGGCUUACCAAGGCUUCGACGGGUAGCCGGCCUGGGAGGGUGACCGGCGACAUUGGGACUACGGUAGGACCCAGACGCCAACGUGGCGCAGCGGUGGGAAAUCUUGCACAAUGGGCGGAAGCCUGAGGCGGCAGCGCCGCGUGCGGAAUGACUUCCUUCGGGUUAAAAACCGCUUUCGCAUUUGACGAAGCGUGAGUGACGGUAAUGGAUAAGAAAGCACCGGCUAACUACGUG
rnacentral:rRNA from 1 species